rnacentral:rRNA from 1 species
AAGUCCCCUUCGGGGGACAAGUAGAGUGGCGCACGGGUGAGUAACACGUAGGUAAUCUACCUUCGGGUGGGGAGUAACCCCGGGAAACCGGGGCUAAUACCGCAUAAUGCAGCGGCACCUAAUGGUGACAGUUGUUAAAGCGGGGGAUCGCAAGAUCUCGCGCCUGAAGAGGAGCCUGCGGCGGAUUAGCUAGUUGGUAGGGUAAUGGCCUACCAAGGCGACGAUCCGUAGCCGGCCUGAGAGGGCGGUCGGCCACACUGACACUGACAUACGGGUCAGACUCCUACGGGAGGCAGCAGUCGGGAAUUUUGGGCAAUGGGCGAAAGCCUGACCCAGCAACGCCGCGUGAAGGAUGAAAUCCCUCGGGAUGUAAACUUCGCAAGAACGGGAAGAAUAAGUUUGUGCUAAUACCACAAGCGAUGACGGUACUGUUUGUAAGCUCCGGCUAACUCCGUGCCAGCAGCCGCGGUAAUACGGGGGGAGCAAGCGUUGUUCGGAUUUACUGGGCGUAAAGGGCGCGUAGGCGGCCUCCGCAAGUCAGUUGUGAAAUCUCCGAGCUUAACUCGGAAAGGUCAACUGAUACUGCGGGGCUAGAGUGCGGAAGGGGCAACUGGAAUUCUUGGUGUAACGGUGAAAUGCGUAGAUAUCAAGAGGAACACCUGCGGCGAAGGCGGGUUGCUGGGCCGACACUGACGCUGAGGCGCGAAAGCUAGGGGAGCGAACGGGAUUAGAUACCCCGGUAGUCCUAGCCUUAAACGAUGAAUGCUUGGUGUCUGGGGUUAUAUAG